CCGAGUUUGAUCCUGGCUCAGAAUGAACGUUGGCAGCGUGGAUUAGGCAUGCAAGUCGCGCGACAAGGAUCCUUCGGGGUCCGGAGGAGCGGCAAACGGGGUAGUAAGGCAUCGGAACGUACCCUCUUGUCGGGAAUAGCCACGGGAAACUGUGAGUAAUGCCCGAUAAUCUCGAGAGAGCAAAGGUCCGCCGCAGGAGGAGCGGCCGAUGUGAUAUCAGCUAGUUGGUAGGGUAAUGGCCUACCAAGGCUUAGACGUCUAGGGGGUGUGAGAGCAUGGCCCCCACCACUGGGACUGAGACACUGCCCAGACACCUACGGGUGGCUGCAGUCGAGAAUCUUCGGCAAUGGGCGCAAGCCUGACCGAGCAACGCUGCGUGCGGGAUGAAGGCCCUUGGGUCGUAACCGCUGUCAGGGGGAUGAAAGCGCAAGCUUGACAGAGCCCCAGAGGAAGCACGGGCUAAGUUCGUG
rnacentral:rRNA from 1 species